GAUCAUGGCUCAGGACGAACGCUGGCGGCGUGCCUAACACAUGCAAGUCGAACGGGACUUGCCCCUUCGGGGACAAGUUUAGUGGCGGACGGGUGAGUAACGCGUGAGCAACCUACCUUUCAGUGGGGGGACAACAGUUGGAAACGACUGCUAAUACCGCAUAACACUUAUUUAGGGCAUCUUAAAUAAGUCAAAGAUUUAUUGCUGAAAGAUGGGCUCGCGUCUGAUUAGCUAGUUGGUGGGGUAACGGCCCACCAAGGCG
rnacentral:rRNA from 1 species